rnacentral:sRNA from 1 species
GCCGUCUUGCCAACCAUGACUGCUUUUGCGAGCGGCCUGGGAGGUGAAGGAGCAGAUGUGUUUGUUCAAAUUUUACUGAAGGACCCCAUCUUGAAGGACGACCCGACGGUGAUCACUCAGGACCUUCUGAGCUUCUCACUCAGGGAUGGGCACUAUGAUGCCCGGGCCAGAGUCCUUGUUUGCCACAUGACCUCCCUGCUCCAAGUGCCCUUGGAGGAGCUGGAUGUCCUUGAAGAGACGUUCCUGGAGAGCCUGAAGGAAAUCAAAGAGGAGGAAUCUGAACUAUUUCCAGGCCGCGUUUGUUGAAUCAAGAUGCCGCUGACUCAGCGCCACAUCGCUUGUCUAGUUGCACGUUCCCAUCGUAUAUCGUCAGUGACUUGAGUGUUUUCUUCGGUCUUGAACUCUGCCCAAAGUCAGUAAUCUUCAGCCUUCCACUUGGAACUGACUUAAGAGUUAUCAAUUAAGGGUCAAGGCAGUUCAGGGUCAAAGUAUAUCUCCAGCCUGUGUUAAGGAGGAAAUUAUUACAAUAAUAAUGAAAAGAGUGAUAAUAGCAAUAAACAUAUUGAAUAAUUA